GACGAACGCUGGCGGCGUGCCUAAUACAUGCAAGUAGGACGCAGUUGCGAACGGGUGAGUAACGCGUAGGUAAAUACCGAUUAGUGGGGGAUAACUAUUGGAAACGAUAGCUAAUACCGCAUACUAGUAGAUGGACCUGCUGGGUAUUAGCUAGUAGGGAGGGUAAUGGGCUACCUAGGUAACGAUACAUAGGCGACCUGAGAGGGUGACACGCCAACCUGGGACGGGUAAACGGCCCAGGAUCCUAACGGAGGCAGCAGGAGGGAAUCUUCGCAAAUGGGGGGAACCCUGACCGAGCAACGCCGGGUGAGUGAAGAAGGUUCUCGGGUCGUAAAGCUCUGUUGUUAAGGAAGCGGUACUUAACCAGAAAGGGCCGGCUAACUACGUGCCAGCAGCCGCGGUAAUUC
rnacentral:rRNA from 1 species